UAUAAGCAUGGUGGUGCAUGGCAUGUUUACAAUUGACUUCCCUACUACAGGUCUGUGACGCUGGGUCGACGCGGUGCUUGCGUGUGGCGCUUGGCGCCCGCUACCGUGGUCGACGGUAUUAUUGCUACUAUCACCCGCGGCCCUCGGGCUUGUCGGUGGUGUAUUUCCUACCCGCGGCCUUCGGGCUUGUCUGGGUAGAAUGCAUCCGCAGCCCUUUGGUUUGUCGAGCGGUGCCAAAAU